rnacentral:misc_RNA from 1 species
UCCGGUUUGUCACCGGCAGUCUUGCAUGAGUCCCCGGCCGAACCGCUGGCAACAUGCAACGGGGGUUGCGCUCGUUGCGGGACUUAACCCAACAUCUCACGACACGAGCUGACGACAACCAUGCACCACCUGUACACCGCCCUUGCGGACCCCGUAUCUCUACGAGUUUUCGGUGUAUGUCAAGCCUUGGUAAGGUUCUUCGCGUUGCGUCGAAUUAAGCCACAUGCUCCGCUGCUUGUGCGGGCCCCCGUCAAUUCCUUUGAGUUUUAGCCUUGCGGCCGUACUCCCCAGGCGGGGCACUUAAUGCGUUAGCUACGGCACGGAUCCCGUUGGAUAGGACCCACACCUAGUGCCCAACGCUUACAGCUAGGACUAC